UUACACAAAAAGAUGUAAACAGGAAUUCUUAUAUGAUCCUUAGGUAUUCCACUUUCUAUAGGCACAGGCUCACGAAUCUGUGAUGACGAUACACCCAUAUGUCCAGAAGAGUUCCCCUUCAAUCUAACUGGGCCUGACUGGAGCAUCUCGGCCCAGUCAUCAAACCAGGGAGACGAUAAUGCUAAAAAAGCUGUUGAUGGGAAGAAAGAAACCUGCACUAAUGAAAUCUCCUGGUGGAUGAUUGACCUGAAGGAUGUCUACAACAUUUCUUCUAUUGCUAUCUACAACAAAGAAAAUGUAGAAAUAUCUGGAGCUCAGAUCCACAUCGGGAACUGUCCUCACCUCAACAACAGACUGUAUGUUACUAUGAAUUGAUUUAUUUCACAC